rnacentral:antisense_RNA from 3 species
CUUGACGGAGCCGACGAACACCGGGCGGUCCUCCGGCCGGUUCUGGCCGUACGUGGCGAGCAGCGCCUGGGCCUC